CAUACAGUUAACCUCCACCCAUUUUAAAAUGCUAUUGUAAUGAAAGGUGUGUGCGUGCUUACUUAAACAACUUUGCUUGCAAUCAUCUGCAUUUCACAGCCAGGGACAUUGUAGGCUGUGAUCGCUAAUCCUUGUUGGCUCCAAUGUUGUCAACAUGGUAAAGAUGUCGAAAGUCACCGGCCGCUGUGCUUUUUGCUUCAUAGCGGCCAUCAUAUUUGACAUAGUUGGAAUCAUCAUGCUUCUCGUUGGAAUAUUUGCCGGUCUUCAAUCUUUCGAUUUCUUUCUUAUAACGGGAUCCAUGAUUAUCGCUUUAAGUCUGGUGUUUUGGAUGCUAUGGUACACGGGCAAUGUGGAGGUACCCUACAAAGAGUUCGGACUGAAGGUGUAACUUCUACGUUCGACAUCCACAUUUCACGGAGUCAAUGAAGGAUAUUCUACAAUGGAAAGCACUUUAUGCCCGCACAAGAAGAGGUCCGCCAGACCAUCCCAUUACUUAAUAAGAUGGAAGCCACCACCCCAUUAAAAUGGAACAGGAUAGCUGAACAACAUACGUUUUUACAUGCAAGAAGGUAGUCAUCACGGAUUCAUAAAAAUCAGCCCAGCCAUGGACUUUUCAUUUUACAAUGGCUGUAGUUUGCACUAAAUUUGGUCCUCUCUUAUCCCAAAUUCGUAAAAAUGCUUUUGGUAUAAAAAGUGUAAUUUAGUUAAAAAAAAUUAUGGGUAUGUGGUGGAUUCACAAAAUUGCACAUUAUUUUGGACAACGAGAUAACUGUUCGUGUAGGAUUUAAGGCAUUCUGGAUCCGGAGCACAGACAAUCUUUUUUCAUAUGAAGGAUUUUUUUUCUUUGUUUACCUCAAUAUGUAAAUGACUUUACACAAAACUAUAUGUACUUGAUUUUAUUAUUUUCAGACAAGAUUUCUAGCUCUUCCUACCUUAUGGAAGUGGUUACCAAGUCUGCACCUCAGGGAUUUCAGUUUGGUCCUAUUUCAGAAGAAGGAUACUAGUCUAAAUCAUUGGCUGGACGCUUGUGCCCUUGUAUAUGGUGUCCUUAGUCCUACGGUCAUGCAGGUGCACUCGAAGUCCAUCAAAGUCUACAAAAUUCCAGAACCCGGAACAAAAACUGUGACCUAUGACCAAAGCACACAUGGAACCAACUUUAUCAUCAGUUCUACUGCGUGAAAACAUCCAGAUUCAAAAACACACUUUGACUAGUGUAGUUUAAUUUCAGUUUCACUAAGGUGCCAUCUCAUAUAAAUGACAGGAUUCCAUGAUGUUCCCCAUGAAGUUGGAAGGAUUCUCAGCAAGGCUGAUCUUGUAUUCUGGACUCCAGCCUGCCUCAGUACAUCCAUAGUUACUUUACUUCUCCUUACAUAUAUUAGCUGAUGCCACUGAGAUUUUUUUUACUCUAACAAUUUUCAUAAAAUGACGAUGAUCCCAACAGAUUCUAUUUUGCACAAAUAACAGUGUAUUCAUCCACUGUGUGUUGUGUGAAGGUAGAACCUUAUUAAACUUUUUUUUUUAUCAUGUUUGUUUUUAAAACUGCAUUUCAGAUGUCCAUAACUAAGCCCGUGUAAUAAUCAGAGUCCCUGGAAAGAUUUAUUGGAAAGGGAUAUUGAUCACUCCUCGUCCAAACAUUAAAGGGGCUCUCAAAGCAACAUAGCUACGAUACCGUGCCCAGUCUAAUAUCAAACCAAUGAAGGAAAGUUUGAUGUAAACCAAAGUUCUUCCUGACACCUACGUACCGGCCCCAUAUUGGCUGCACUUAUAAAGCGGUACUCGCACUUCCUGCAAUGUCGUAUGCAAUAUUCGCACUUCCUGCAAUUUAGUAUGCAAUAUUCGCACUUCCUGCAAUUUAGUAUGCAAUAUUCACACUUCCUGCAAUUUAGUAUGCAAACUAGACUGCUUUGAUUGUCAGAGAAUUCUGGGCUAACACUCUCUCAAUGUUGCUUAGACUGCUCCUUUAAAUCAUUCUAUAGUGAAUCCCCACUAUAGACACAGAUAUGAUAAUUACCAUGGAUCCAUCAAUGAAGUCUAUUCGAGAAACACAAAUUGUUGCACAUUUUUUAUUAAAAAAAUUACUAGAUGUCGUAUAUUUUACCUUUACUGUUGUGCCGUACAGGUUAAGAGGGUAAAAAUAAAAAUAAAAGUAGGAAUUAGGUUUAAACUACCAAUUUGUGUAGCACAAUGUAUGGAUGGAAUUUUAUUGAAUGUGAAGACGGAUCAUGUUAUUAUAUUUAAGGGUACAUUUCACGUUAAACCAGAUAGCUCACGGGAAGGGAUCUCAUCUCCUAUUGUUUCAAUGUCUCUAAAUAUUUAUCCCUUGUUUGUAUAAUUACCAAUGUUAUUUUUGCAUAAAUUGCAAAGUGUUCUGGAUAUGAGCACAAUGUUAAAGAACUGUUAAAUAAAAAGUCUAUCCUCAUUUUCCUUA